rnacentral:rRNA from 1 species
UACGUAGGGGGCUAGCGUUGUCCGGAAUCAUUGGGCGUAAAGCGCGUGUAGGCGGUCCGGUAAGUCCGCUGUGAAAGUCGGGGGCUCAACCCUCGGAUGCCGGUGGAUACUGUCGGGCUUGAGUACGGAAGAGGCGAGUGGAAUUCCUGGUGUAGCGGUGAAAUGCGCAGAUAUCAAGGAAGAACACCCGUGGCGAAAGCGGACUCUCUGGAACGGUACUGA